rnacentral:rRNA from 1 species
AACGAACGCUGGCGGCAUGCCUAACACAUGCAAGUCGAACGAGACCUUCGGGUCUAGUGGCGCACGGGUGCGUAACGCGUGGGAAUCUGCCCUUGGGUUCGGAAUAACAGUUGGAAACGACUGCUAAUACCGGAUGAUGACGUAAGUCCAAAGAUUUAUCGCCCAAGGAUGAGCCCGCGUAGGAUUAGCUAGUUGGUGAGGUAAAGGCUCACCAAGGCGACGAUCCUUAGCUGGUCUGAGAGGAUGAUCAGCCACACUGGGACUGAGACACGGCCCAGACUCCUACGGGAGGCAGCAGUGGGGAAUAUUGGACAAUGGGCGAAAGCCUGAUCCAGCAAUGCCGCGUGAGUGAUGAAGGCCUUAGGGUUGUAAAGCUCUUUUACCCGGGAUGAUAAUGACAGUACCGGGAGAAUAAGCUCCGGCCAACUCCGUG